UGAGUUCUUGUGUGUCUCUGUCCCUGACU
rnacentral:piRNA from 1 species